rnacentral:rRNA from 1 species
AGAGUUUGAUCAUGGCUCAGGACGAACGCUGGCGGCGUGCUUAACACAUGCAAGUCACGGGGGCCAGCAAUGGCAACCGGCGAACGGGUGCGUAACACGUGAGCAACCUACCGAAAUGAGGGGGAUAGCCGGCCCAACGGCCGGGUAAUACCGCAUACGCUCGAGACCAGGCAUUUGGACUCGAGGAAACCUCCGGGGCAUUUCGAGGGGCUCGCGGCCUAUCAGCUAGUUGGUGAGGUAACGGCUCACCAAGGCGACGACGGGUAGCUGGUCUGAGAGGAUGGCCAGCCACAUUGGGACUGAGAUACGGCCCAGACUCCUACGGGAGGCAGCAGUGGGGAAUCUUGCGCAAUGGCCUAACGGCUGACGCAGCGACGCCGCGUGAGGGAUGACGCUCUUCGGAGUGUAAACCUCUUUUGCCCGGGACGAAUUGCCAACUUUAGUUGGCUUGACGGUACCGGGUGAAUAAGCACCGGCUAACUCCGUGCCAGCAGCCGCGGUAAUUC